AUUCUACUCCCUCCGUUGCACAAUACAUGCCUUCUAUUUGUCAAAAUAUAUAUGUAUCUAGACAUGUUUUAGUAUAUAGGUACAUCCAUUUUUGGACAAAUGGAAGUCAAGUAUUUUGGAACGGAGGGAGUACAGA
rnacentral:pre_miRNA from 1 species